GACGAACCGUGCGAACGUUAUUCGGAAUCACUGGGCUUAAAGCGCGUGUAGGCGGGCCGGCACGUCGGCUGCUGAAAUCCCGCGGCUCAACCGCGGAACGGGCACCGAUACGACCGGCCUGGAGGGGGGUAGGGGGAGCCGGAACUUCCGGUGGAGCGGUGAAAUGCGUUGAGAUCGGAAGGAACGCCCGUGGCGAAAGCGGGCUCCUGGACCCCGCCUGACGCUGAGACGCGAAAGCCAGGGGAGCGAACGGG
rnacentral:rRNA from 1 species